CCCUUAGAUGUCCUGGGCCGCACGCGCGCUACACUGAUGCAUUCAACGAGUUUUUCCUUGGCCGAGAGGCCUGGGCAAUCUUUUGAACGUGCAUCGUGAUAGGGAUAGAUUAUUGCAAUUAUUAAUCUUGAACGAGGAAUUCCUAGUAAACGCAGAUCAUCAAUCUGCAUUGAUUACGUCCCUGCCCUUUGUACACACCGCCCGUCGCACCUACCGAUUGAAUGGUCCGGUGAAGCCUCGGGAUUGUGGCGAGUUCCCUUUAUUGGGAGUUUGUCGCGAGAACUUGUCUAAACCUUAUCAUUUAGAGGAAGGAGAAGUCGUAACA
rnacentral:rRNA from 1 species